rnacentral:rRNA from 1 species
UAAUACAGAGGGUGCAAGCGUUAAUCGGAUUUACUGGGCGUAAAGCGCGCGUAGGCGGCUAAUUAAGUCAAAUGUGAAAUCCCCGAGCUUAACUUGGGAAUUGCAUUCGAUACUGGUUAGCUAGAGUGUGGGAGAGGAUGGUAGAAUUCCAGGUGUAGCGGUGAAAUGCGUAGAGAUCUGGAGGAAUACCGAUGGCGAAGGCAGCCAUCUGGCCUAACACUGACGCUGAGGUGCGAAAGCAUGGGGAGCAAACAGGAUUAGAUACCCUGGUAGUCCAUGCCGUAAACGAUGUCUACUAGCCGUUGGGGCCUUUGAGGCUUUAGUGGCGCAGCUAACGCGAUAAGUAGACCGCCUGGGGAGUACGGUCGCAAGACUAAA